UACGAAGGGGGCUAGCGUUGUUCGGAUUUACGUGGCGUAAAGCGCACGUAGGCGGAUCGUUAAGUCGGGGGUGAAAUCCUGGAGCUCAACUCCAGAACUGCCUUCGAUACUGGAGAGCUUGAGUCCGGGAGAGGUGAGUGGAACUGCGAGUGUAGAGGUGAAAUUCGUAGAUAUUCGCAAGAACACCAGUGGCGAAGGCGGCUCACUGGCCCGGUACUGACGCUGAGGUGCGAAAGCGUGGGGAGCAAACAGG
rnacentral:rRNA from 1 species